GGGGAUUUAGCUCAGUGGUAGGGUGCUUGCCUAGGAAGCGCAAGGCCCUGGGUUCGAUCCCCAGCUCCG
rnacentral:tRNA from 1 species